GACGAACGCUGGCGGCGCGCUUAACACGUGCAAGUCGAGCGAUGAAAUCUUAACAGAACCCUUCGGGGUGAAGAUAAGACGGAUUAGCGGCGGACGGGUGAGUAACACGUGAGUAACCUGCCUUUUACACAGGGAUAGCCUCAGGAAACCGGGAUUAAAACCUGAUGAAACUAUCAAAUCACAUGAUUAAGAAAGUUAAAACUCCGGUGGUAAAAGAUGGACUCGCGUCCCAUUAGCUAGUUGGUGAAGGUAACGGCCCACCAAGGCAACGAUGGGUAGCCGGCCUGAGAGGGUGAACGGCCACAUUGGAACUGAGAAACGGUCCAAACUCCUACGGGAGGCAGCAGUGGGGAAUAUUGCACAAUGGGGGAAACCCUGAUGCAGCGACGCCGCGUGAGCGAAGAAGGCCUUCGGGUCGUAAAGCUCUUUUAUAUGGGAAGAUAAUGACGGUACCAUAAGAAAAAGCCCCGGCUAACUACGUG
rnacentral:rRNA from 1 species